UACAGAGGGUGCAAGCGUUGUUCGGAAUUAUUGGGCGUAAAGGGCAGGUAGGUGGUCUUACAAGUCUACUGUGAAAUCCCUGGGCUUAACCCAGGACGUGCGGUGGAUACUGUAAGACUUGAGUGCCGGAGGGGUGCGUGGAAUUCCGAGUGUAGCGGUGAAAUGCGUAGAUAUUCGGAGGAACACCAGAGGCGAAAGCGGCGCACUGGACGGCAACUGACACUCAACUGCGAAAGCGUGGGGAGCAAACAG
rnacentral:rRNA from 1 species